rnacentral:rRNA from 1 species
UAUACGACCGUACCGCAAACCGACACUCGUGCGCGAGAUGAGUAUUCUAAGGCGCUUGAGAGAACUCAGGAGAAGGAACUCGGCAAAUUGACACCGUAACUUCGGAAGAAGGUGUGCCCUAUUAGUGUGUAGUGAACAACGAAGCAUGAAUGGGUUGCAAAAAAUCGGUGGCUGCGACUGUUUAUUAAAAACACAGCACUCUGCAAACACGAAAGUGGACGUAUAGGGUGUGACGCCUGCCCGGUGCUGGAAGAUUAAAUGAUGGGGUGCAAGCUCUUGAUUGAAGUCCCAGUAAACGGCGGCCGUAACAAUAACGGUCCUAAGGUAGCGAAAUUCCUUGUCGGGUAAGUUCCGACCUGCACGAAUGGCGUAACGAUGGCCACACUGUCUCCUCCUGAGACUCAGCGAAGUUGAAAUGUUUGUGAUGAUGCAAUCUCCCCGCGGAAAGACGGAAAGACCCCAUGAACCUUUACUGUAGCUUUGUAUUGGACUUUGAACAGAUCUGUGUAGGAUAGGUGACGCUUUGAAGCAGGGUCGCUAGAUCUUGUGGAGCCAACGUUGAAAUACCACCCUGGUGUGUUUGAGGUUCUAACCUAGGUCCAUUAUCUGGAUCGGGGACAGUGCAUGGUAGGCAGUUUGACUGGGGCGGUCUCCUCCCAAAGCGUAACGGAGGAGUUCGAAGGUACGCUAGUUACGGUCGGACAUCGUGACGAUAGUGCAAUGGCAUAAGCGUGCUUAACUGCGAGACUGACAAGUCGAGCAGAUGCGAAAGCAGGACAUAGUGAUCCGGUGGUUCUGUAUGGAAGGGCCAUUGCUCAACGGAUAAAAGGUACUCUGGGGAUAACAGGCUGAUACCGCCCAAGAGUUCAUAUCGACGGCGGUGUUUGGCACCUCGAUGUCGGCUCAUCUCAUCCUGGGGCUGUAGCCGGUCCCAAGGGUAUGGCUGUUCGCCAUUUAAGGAGGUACGUGAGCUGGGUUUAAAACGUCGUGAGACAGUUUGGUCCCUAUCUUCCGUGGGCGCUGCAGAUUUGAGGAAGCCUGCUCCUAGUACGAGAGGACCGGAGUGGACACACCUCUGUGUAUCGGUUGUCACGCCAGUGGCAUUGCCGAGUAGCUAAGUGUGGAAGAGAUAACCGCUGAAAGCAUCUAAGCGGGAAACUCGUUUCAAGAUGAGAUCUGCCGGGGCCUUGAGCCCCCUAAAGAGUCGUUCAAGACCAGGACGUUGAUAGGUCAGGUGUGGAAGC